AUGCCAGCACCCCGAGUGGUCGGGACGAUUGUUGGGCCUAAAGCAUCCGUAGCCGGUUCUACAAGUCUUACGUUAAAUCCACCUGCUUAACAGAUGGGCUGCGGAGGAUACUAUGGAGCUAGGAGGCGGGAGAGGCAAGCGGUACUUAGUGGGUAGGGGUAAAAUCCGUUGAUCCAUUGAAGACCACCAGUGGCGAAGGCGGCUUGCCAGAACGCACUCGACGGUGAGGGAUGAAAGCUGGGGGAGCAAACCGGAUUAGAUACCCGGGUAGUCCCAGCUGUAAACGAUGCAGACUCGGUGAUGAAUAGGCUUCGUGCCUAUUCAGUGCCGCAGGGAAGCCGUUAAGUCUGCCGCCUGGGGAGUACGGUCGCAAGACUGAAACUCAAAUGAAUCGACGGGG
rnacentral:rRNA from 1 species